rnacentral:rRNA from 1 species
ACUCUCGGCAACGGAUAUCUCGGCUCUCGCAUCGAUGAAGAAUGUUUCGAAAUGCGAUAAAUGGUGUGAAUUGCAGAAAUCCGUGAACCAUCGAGUCUUUAAACACAAGUUGUGCCCGAGGCCAUCUGGCUAAGGGCACGCCUGCCUGGGCAUCACGCUUUCGACGCUUCGUCGUUGCCCCCUCGGGGGGCGGGGGCGAACGCAUAGGAUGGCCCCCCAUGCCGGAAGGUGUAGUUGGCCAAAGAGCGGGCCGUCGGUGGUUGUCAAACACGACGCAUGGUGGAUGCCUUUUGCGAGCCGUAUGUCGUGCCUUUGGGACCUUGGUGAGGCCUCGAGGACCCAAGCCAUGGUGCGAGUCGAUGCCACGGACCGCGACCCCAGGUCAGGUGGGGCUACCCGCUAAGUUUAAGCAUAUAAAUAAGCGGAAGAGAAGAAACUUACGAGGAUUCCCUUAGUAACGGCGAGCGAACCGGGAUCAACCCAGCUUGAGAAUCGAGCGGCUGCAUCGUUUGAAUUGUAGUAUGGAGAAGCGUCCUCAGCGACGGACCGGGCCGAAGUCCCCUGGAAAGUGGCGCCCGGGAGGGUGAGAGCCCCGUCCAGCUCAAACCCUAUCGCACCACGAGGCACUGUCGUCGAGUCGGGUUGUUUGGGAAUACAGCCCCAAUCGAGCGAAAAAUUCCGUCCAAGGCUAAAUAUGGGCGAGAGACCGAUAGCGAACAAGUACCGUGAGGGAAAGAUGAAAAGGACUUUGAAAAGAGAGUCAAAGAGUGCUUGAAAUUGCCGGGUGGGAAGUGGAUGGGGGCCAGCGAUGCACCUCGAUUGGAUGCGGAAUGGCAGUUAGCUGGUCCACUGCUCGGCUCGGGGUGCGGAUUGAUGCGGGCUGCAUCGACGGCCGAAGCCCGGACGGAUCAUUCAUUCGAGGGGAUACCGUCGAUAUGGUCGAGGACAUGAUGCGCGCCAUCGGCAUGCCCCGUGGGGUACACAUGCGACCUAGGCAUCGACCAGUGGGCUCCCCAUCUGACCCGUCUUGAAACAUGGAUCAAGUAGUCUGACAUGCAUGCGAGUCGACGUGUGCCGAAACCCGGAAGGCACAAGGAAGCUAACGGGCAGGAACCCUCUCGAGGGGUUGCACCGCCGGCCGACCCCGAUCUUCUGUGAAGGGUUCGAGUUGGAGAAUGCAUGUCGGGACCCGAAAGAUGGUGAACUAUGCCUGAGCGAGGCGAAGCCAGAGGAAACUCUGGUGGAGGCCCGAAGCGAAACUGACGUGCAAAUCAUUCGUCUAACAUGGGUAUCGGGGUGAAAGACUAAUCGAGCCAUCUAGUAGCUGGUUCCCUCCGAUGUUUCCCUCAGGAUAGCUGGAGCCCAUGUGCGAGUUCUAUCGGGUAAAGCCAAUGAUUAGAGGCAUCGGGGGCGCAAUGCCCUCGACCUAUUCUCAUACUUUAAAUAGGUACGACGGCGCGGCUGCUUCGUUGAGCGGCGUCGCAGAAUCGAGAGCUCAAGUGGGCCAUUUUUGGUAAGCAGAAUUGGCGAUAAGGGAUGAACCGGAAGUCGGGUUAUGGUGCCCAACUGCACGCUAUCCUAGACACCACAAAGGGUGUUGGUCAAUUAAGACAGCAGGAUGGUGGUCAUGGAAGUCGAAAUCCACUAAGGAGUGUGUAACAACUCACCUGCCGAAUCAACUAGCCUCGAAAAUGGAUGGCGCUGAAGCGUGCGACCCACACCCGGCCAUCGGGGCAAGCGCCAAGCCCCAAUGAGUAGGAGGGCGCAGCGGUCGCCACAAAACCCAAGGCGCGAGCCCGGGCGGAGCGGCCGUCGGUGCAGAUCUUAGUGGUAGUAGCAAAUAUUCAAAUGCGAACUUUGAAGUCUGAAGAGGGGAAAGGUUCCAUGUGAAUGGCACUUGCACAUGGGUUAGCCGAUCCUAAGGGAUGGGGGAAGUCCGUCCGAGAGCGUGUCUCCGCGCGAGCUCCGAAAGGGAAUCGAGUUAAAAUUCCCGAGCUGGGACACGGCAACGUUAGGAAGUUCCGAGACGCCGGCGGGGGCCUCGAGAAGAGUUAUCUGUUCUGCUUAACGACCCGCCCACCCUGGAAACGGCUCAGCCGGAGGUAGGGUCCUGGAAACUGUGAAUGGCUCAUUAAAUCAGUUAUAGUUUGUUUGGUGGUACGUGCUACUAGGAUAACCAUAGUAAUUCUAGAGCUAAUAUGUGCAACAAACCCCGACUUUCGGAAGGGAUGCAUUUAUUAGAUAAAAGGCUGACGCAGGCUUUGCCUGCUGCUCCGAUGCUUCAUGAUAACUCGACGGAUCGCACGGCCUUCGUGCCGGCGAUGCAUCAUUCAAAUUUCUGCCCUUUCAACUUUUGAUGGUAGGAUAGGGGCCUACCAUGGUGGUGACGGGUGACGGAGAAUUAGGGUUCGAUUCUGGAGAGGGAGCCUGAGAAACGACUACCACAUCCAAGGAAGGCAGCAGGCGCGCAAAUUACCCAAUCCUGACACGGGGAAUUCCUAGUAAGCGAGAGUCAUCAACUCGCGUUGACUAUGUCCCUGCCCUUUGUACACAUCGCCCGUUGCUCCUACCGAAUGAAUGGUUCGGUGAAGUGUUCGGAUCGAGGCGACGGGGGCGGUUCACCGCCCGUGACGUCACGAGAAGUCCACUGAACCUUAUCAUUUAAAGGAAGGAGAAGUCAUAACAAGGUUUCCGUAGGUGAACCUGCGGAAGGAUGAUUGUCCAAACCCACUGACGAGAACGAUCGUGAAUGCGAUACCUAGUUUGAAUUGCAGAAUCCCGUGAACCAUCGAGUCUUUAAACGCAAGUUGCGCCCGAGGCCAUCCGGCUAAGGGCACGCUUGCCUGGGCGUCACGCUUUCGACGCUUCGUCGUUGCCCCCUCGAGGGGCGAGGGCGAACACGGACGAUGGCCCCCCGUGCGGGAAGGUGCGGUUGGCCGAAGAGCAGGCCAUCGGUGGUUGU